UACGAAGGGGGCUAGCGUUGCUCGGAAUGACUGGGCGUAAAGGGCGCGUAGGCGGACUGCACAGUCAGGCGUGAAAUUCCUGGGCUUAACCUGGGGACUGCGUCUGAGACGUGUGGUCUAGAGUGAGGAAGAGGGUCGUGGAAUUUCCAGUGUAGAGGUGAAAUUCGUAGAUAUUGGAAAGGACACCGGUGGCGAAGGCGGCGACCUGGUCCUUUACUGACGCUGAGGCGCGAAAGCGUGGGGGAGCAAACAGGAUUAGAUACCCUGGUAGUCCACGCUGUAAACGAUGUGUGCUUGAUGUUGGGGUGCUUAGCACUUCAGUGUCGGAGCUAACGCGGUAAGCACACCGCCUGGGGAGUACGGCCGCAAGGUUGAAACUCA
rnacentral:rRNA from 1 species